rnacentral:tmRNA from 1 species
GGGGAUGUUUUUAGAAUUCGACAUAGUACAAUAUUAUGAGA